CCUCCAAGGCUAAAUACUCCUGACUGACCGAUAGUGAACCAGUACCGUGAGGGAAAGGCGAAAAGAACCCCUGUGAGGGGAGUGAAAUAGAUCCUGAAACCGCAUGCAUACAAGCAGUGGGAGCACCUUCGUGGUGUGACUGCGUACCUUUUGUAUAAUGGGUCAGCGACUUAUAUUCAGUAGCAAGGUUAACCGUAUAGGGGAGCCGUAGAGAAAUCGAGUCUUAAUAGGGCGUUUAGUUGCUGGGUAUAGACCCGAAACCAGGCGAUCUAUCCAUGAGCAGGUUGAAGGUUGGGUAACACUAACUGGAGGACCGAACCCACUGUCGUUGAAAAGCCAGGGGAUGACUUGUGGAUAGGGGUGAAAGGCUAAUCAAGCCUGGUGAUAGCUGGUUCUCCCCGAAAGCUAUUUAGGUAGCGCCUCGGACGAAUACCAUAGGGGGUAGAGCACUGUUUCGGCUAGGGGGUCAUCCCGACUUACCAAACCGAUGCAAACUCCGAAUACCUAUGAGUACUAUCCGGGAGACAGACUGCGGGUGCUAACGUCCGUAGUCAAGAGGAAAACAAUCCAGACCGCCAGCUAAGGCCCCAAAAUCAUAGUUAAGUGGGAAACGAUGUGGGAAGGCAUAGACAGCUAGGAGGUUGGCUUAGAAGCAGCCACCCUUUAAAGAAAGCGUAAUAGCUCACUAGUCGAGUCGGCCUGCGCGGAAGAUGUAACGGGGCUAAAACUAUGUGCCGAAGCUGCGGAUUUGACAUUAGUCAAGUGGUAGGGGAGCGUUCUGUAAGCCGAUGAAGGUGUAUUGAGAAGUAUGCUGGAGGUAUCAGAAGUGCGAAUGCUGACGUGAGUAACGACAAAACGGGUGAAAAACCCGUUCGCCGAAAGACCAAGGGUUCCAGUCCAACGUUAAUCGGGGCUGGGUGAGUCGACCCCUAAGGCGAGGCCGAAAGGCGUAGUCGAUGGGAAAAUGGUUAAUAUUCCAUUACUUCUGUGUAAUGCGAUGAGAGGACGGAGAAGGCUAAAUCAGCCUGGCGUUGGUUGUCCAGGUGAAAGGAUGUAGGCAUGUAUCUUAGGCAAAUCCGGGGUACUCUAUGCUGAGAUCUGAUAGCAAGCUGUACUUGUACAGCGAAGUGGUUGAUGCCAUGCUUCCAGGAAAAGUCUCUAAGCUUCAGUUACACAGGAAUCGUACCCGAAACCGACACAGGUGGUCAGGUCGAGUAGACCAAGGCGCUUGAGAGAACUCUGCUGAAGGAACUAGGCAAAAUGGUACCGUAACUUCGGGAGAAGGUACGCUGUUGUUGGUGAUGGAACUCGCUUCCUGAGCUGACGACAGCCGCAGAAACCAGGCCGCUGCAACUGUUUAUUAAAAACAUAGCACUCUGCAAACACGAAAGUGGACGUAUAGGGUGUGAUGCCUGCCCGGUGCUGGAAGGUUAAUUGAUGGGGUUAGCGUAAGCGAAGCUCUUGAUCGAAGCCCCAGUAAACGGCGGCCGUAACUAUAACGGUCCUAAGGUAGCGAAAUUCCUUGUCGGGUAAGUUCCGACCUGCACGAAUGGCAUAAUGAUGGCGGCGCUGUCUCCAGCAGAGGCUCAGUGAAAUCGAAAUCGCUGUGAAGAUGCAGUGUACCCGCGGCUAGACGGAAAGACCCCGUGAACCUUUACUGCAGCUUGACACUGAACUUUGACCUUACUUGUGUAGGAUAGGUGGGAGGCUUUGAAGCUGGAACGCUAGUUCCAGUGGAGCCGUCCUUGAAAUACCACCCUGGUAAUGUUGAGGUUCUAACUCUGUCCCGUGAUCCGGGACGAGGACCGUGUCUGGUGGGUAGUUUGACUGGGGCGGUCUCCUCCUAAAGAGUAACGGAGGAGUACGAAGGUGCGCUCAGCGUGGUCGGAAAUCACGCGUAGAGUAUAAAGGCAAAAGCGCGCUUAACUGCGAGACCCACAAGUCGAGCAGGUACGAAAGUAGGUCUUAGUGAUCCGGUGGUUCUGUAUGGAAGGGCCAUCGCUCAACGGAUAAAAGGUACUCUGGGGAUAACAGGCUGAUACCGCCCAAGAGUUCAUAUCGACGGCGGUGUUUGGCACCUCGAUGUCGGCUCAUCUCAUCCUGGGGCUGAAGCAGGUCCCAAGGGUAUGGCUGUUCGCCAUUUAAAGAGGUACGCGAGCUGGGUUUAGAACGUCGUGAGACAGUUCGGUCCCUAUCUACCGUGGGCGCUGGAAAUUUGAGAGGAUCUGCUCCUAGUACGAGAGGACCAGAGUGGACGAACCUCUGGUGUACCGGUUGUGACGCCAGUCGCAUCGCCGGGUAGCUAUGUUCGGAAGGGAUAACCGCUGAAAGCAUCUAAGCGGGAAGCCUACCUCAAGAUAAGAUUUCCCUAGGACUUUAUGUCCUCUAAAGAGCCGUUCGAGACUAGGACGUUGAUAGGUUGGAUGUGGAAGCAUAGUGAUAUGUGAAGCUGACCAAUACUAAUUGCUCGUGAGGCUUGACUAUACAACACCCAAGCAGUUG
rnacentral:rRNA from 1 species